rnacentral:rRNA from 1 species
GGCGAACGGGAGAGUAACACGUGAGUAACCUGCCCUUGACUCUGGGAUAAGCCUGGGAAACUGGGUCUAAUACCGGAUACGACCAUCUGGCGCAUGUCAUGGUGGUGGAAAGCUUUUGUGGUUUUGGAUGGACUCGCGGCCUAUCAGCUUGUUGGUGGGGUAAUGGCCUACCAAGGCGACGACGGGUAGCCGGCCUGAGAGGGUGACCGGCCACACUGGGACUGAGACACGGCCCAGACUCCUACGGGAGGCAGCAGUGGGGAAUAUUGCACAAUGGGCGCAAGCCUGAUGCAGCGACGCCGCGUGAGGGAUGACGGCCUUCGGGUUGUAAACCUCUUUCAGUAGGGAAGAAGCGAAAGUGACGGUACCUGCAGAAGAAGCGCCGGCUAACUACGUGCCAGCAGCCGCGGUAAUACGUAGGGCGCAAGCGUUAUCCGGAAUUAUUGGGCGUAAAGAGCUCGUAGGCGGUUUGUCGCGUCUGCUGUGAAAGACCGGGGCUCAACUCCGGUUCUGCAGUGGGUACGGGCAGACUAGAGUGCAGUAGGGGAGACUGGAAUUCCUGGUGUAGCGGUGAAAUGCGCAGAUAUCAGGAGGAACACCGAUGGCGAAGGCAGGUCUCUGGGCUGUAACUGACGCUGAGGAGCGAAAGCAUGGGGAGCGAACAGGAUUAGAUACCCUGGUAGUCCAUGCCGUAAACGUUGGGCACUAGGUGUGGGGGACAUUCCACGUUUUCCGCGCCGUAGCUAACGCAUUAAGUGCCCCGCCUGGGGAGUACGGCCGCAAGGCUAAAACUCAAAGGAAUUGACGGGGGCCCGCACAAGCGGCGGAGCAUGCGGAUUAAUUCGAUGCAACGCGAAGAACCUUACCAAGGCUUGACAUGAACCGGAAAGACCUGGAAACAGGUGCCCCGCUUGCGGUCGGUUUACAGGUGGUGCAUGGUUGUCGUCAGCUCGUGUCGUGAGAUGUUGGGUUAAGUCCCGCAACGAGCGCAACCCUCGUUCUAUGUUGCCAGCGCGUUAUGGCGGGGACUCAUAGGAGACUGCCGGGGUCAACUCGGAGGAAGGUGGGGACGACGUCAAAUCAUCAUGCCCCUUAUGUCUUGGGCUUCACGCAUGCUACAAUGGCCGGUACAAAGGGUUGCGAUACUGUGAGGUGGAGCUAAUCCCAAAAAGCCGGUCUCAGUUCGGAUUGGGGUCUGCAACUCGACCCCAUGAAGUCGGAGUCGCUAGUAAUCGCAGAUCAGCAA